UUUUAAGCCAGUGCUUUGAGUCACCUUUCAUUGAGGUUUCUUCUAUGUGAAGUGCACUGCAUGUAUUUGUAAACCUACUUGUUUUUCUCCUGUUAAUCUGUCUUUUGUUACAGGAGUCAGUCCCAACUACAAAUUUAAGAGAAUCACGGAAACACCCACAAACUUAUGAGGAUCACAGAAAACACCCCUACACCAACUUAUAGCCAAUCUAUUCAACCUGCAUUGUUAGCAGGUUUGAUUGUCAAGUUACUAUCCAAGAGCAGAAUUCUUUCUGGAGCCUCCUCACUAAAGUUCUCUGUACUUGUGGAUCAUUAAGACAAGGACACCAACUGAGAACUGUUGCUAAUUGCUUGACCACAGGUUCCAAUGC
ensembl:lincRNA